rnacentral:rRNA from 1 species
AGAGUUUGAUCCUGGCUCAGAACGAACGCUGGCGGCAGGCUUAACACAUGCAAGUCGAGCGCCCCGCAAGGGGAGCGGCAGACGGGUGAGUAACACGUGGGAACGUGCCUUUAGGUUCGGAAUAACUCAGGGAAACUUGUGCUAAUACCGAAUGUGCCCUUCGGGGGAAAGAUUUAUCGCCUUUAGAGCGGCCCGCGUCUGAUUAGCUUGUUGGUGGGGUAAUGGCCCACCAAGGCUACGAUCAGUAGCUGGUCUGAGAGGAUGACCAGCCACAUUGGGACUGAGACACGGCCCAAACUCCUACGGGAGGCAGCAGUGGGGAAUCUUGCGCAAUGGGCGAAAGCCUGACGCAGCCAUGCCGCGUGUAUGAUGAAGGUCUUAGGAUUGUAAAAUACUUUCACCGGUGAAGAUAAUGACUGUAGCCGGAGAAGA